GUCUGUUUGAAGGUAUAAAAAGUUUAACCUGCCCACUGAUAAAUUUUUUAAAGGGCCGCGGUAUUCUGACUGUGCAAAGGUAGCAUAAUCGUUAGUUUUUUAAUUGGAAUCUUGUAUGAAUGGUUUGACAAAAGAAAAUCUGUCUUUAUAAUUAUUUAUUGAAUUUAACUUUUAAGUGAAAAGGCUUAAAUAAAUUAAAAAGACGAUAAGACCCUAUAAAGCUUAAUAUUAAAUUUUUAUUUAAUUAAAUUUUAAAUUAUAAUAAAGAUUUGGUAAAUAAAUUUUAUUUUGUUGGGGUGAUAAUGGUAAAAUGAUUAUUAACUGUUAAUUUUUUUAGACAAAAAUAAAUGAAUAAUAAUUUGUUGUAAAGGAUCCUGUAUUAAAGAUUAAAAGUUUAAGUUACUUUAGGGAUAACAGCGUUAUUUUUUUUGAGAGUUCUUAUCGAGAAAAAAGUUUGCGACCUCGAUGUUGAAUUAAAAUAUCUAUAUAAUUGUAGCAGUUAUAUAAGAAGGUCUGUUCGACCUUUAAAAUUUUACAUGAUUUGAGUUCAGACCGGCGUAAG
rnacentral:rRNA from 3 species